UACAGAGGGGGCAAGCGUUGUUCGGAAUUACUGGGCGUAAAGGGCGCGUAGGCGGCCUUCUAAGUCGAACGUGAAAUCCCCGGGCUCAACCCGGGAACUGCGUCCGAUACUGGAAGGCUUGAAUCCGGGAGAGGGAUGUGGAAUUCCAGGUAUAGCGGUGAAAUGCGUAGAUAUCUGGAGGAACACCGGUGGCGAAGGCGACAUCCUGGACCGGUAUUGACGCUGAGGCGCGAAAGCCAGGGGAGCAAACGGG
rnacentral:rRNA from 1 species